rnacentral:rRNA from 1 species
GAGACAGCAGUAGCCGCGGUAAUACGGAGGGUGCAAGCGUUAAUCGGAAUUACUGGGCGUAAAGCACACGCAGGCGGUCUGACAAGUCAGAUGUGAAAUCCCCGGGCUUAACCUGGGAACUGCAUUUGAAACUGUCAGGCUGGAGUCUUGUAGAGGGGGGUAGAAUUCCAGGUGUAGCGGUGAAAUGCGUAGAGAUCUGGAGGAAUACCGGUGGCGAAGGCGGCCCCCUGGACAAAGACUGACGCUCAGGUGCGAAAGCGUGGGGAGCAAACAGGAUUAGAUACCCCAGUAGUCCCUGUCUCUUAUAC